rnacentral:rRNA from 1 species
UACAGAGGUCCCAAGCGUUGUUCGGAUUCAUUGGGCGUAAAGGGUGCGUAGGCGGCGCGGUAAGUCGGGUGUGAAAUCUCGGGGCUUAACUCCGAAACUGCAUUCGAUACUGGCGUGCUUGAGGACUGGAGAGGAGACUGGAAUUCCUGGUGUAGCGGUGAAAUGCGUAGAUAUCAGGAGGAAUACCGGUGGUGCAGACGGCUCUCUGGACCGCAACUGACGCUGAGACACGAAAGCGUGGGUAGCAAACAGG